rnacentral:rRNA from 1 species
CAGCAGCCGCGGGAAUACGUAGGUGGCAAGCGUUGUCCGGAAUUAUUGGGCGUAAAGGGCUCGCAGGCGGUUUCUUAAGUCUGAUGUGAAAGCCCCCGGCUCAACCGGGGAGGGUCAUUGGAAACUGGGAAACUUGAGUGCAGAAGAGGAGAGUGGAAUUCCACGUGUAGCGGUGAAAUGCGUAGAGAUAUGGAGGAACACCAGUGGCGAAGGCGACUCUCUGGUCUGUAACUGACGCUGAGGAGCGAAAGCGUGGGGAGCGAACAGGAUUAGAUACCCCAGUAGUCCCUGUCUCUUAUAC